AUGAUGAAGAGUUUGAGGGCUUUGAAAGCCAUGGAAUUGGCUGUUAAAGCUCGGAUAGCUCUUCCGAA
rnacentral:pre_miRNA from 1 species